GAUAUUGACAUGGAUGCAGUCAAGAUCCGGAACAUUUCCAUCACCACCAGGAUCUCUCCUGUUGCCCCCUUUCAGCCACCCCCACCUCCCUUCAUAGUGUUUAACUACAGUUUGCAUACUUUGGACAUCUGGUUGUUCCCAGGUUUGGGCUAUUACUAAUAAAGCUGCUAUAAACAUUCGUGUACAGGUUUUUGUGUGAACAUAAGUUUUCAUUUCUCUGGGAUAAAUGCCUAGGAGUAUAAUUGCCGGGUUGUAUAGAAGUUGCUAGUUCAGUUUUUACAGAAACUGCCAAGCCGUUUUCCAAAGUUCCAAACUGUUUCCAUUUUAUAUUCCCAGCAGCAAUGGAGGAGCCAUCCAGUUUCUCCAUAUCCACGCCAGAAUUGGGUAUUAUCACUAUUUUUUGUUUUAGACAUUCUGAUAGUUGUAUAGUGGGAUCUCACCGUGGAUUUAAUUUGCAUCUCCCUAAUGGCUAAUGAUGUUAAAUAUCUAUUCAUGUGCUUAUUUGUGUGUGUGUGUGUGUGUGUGUGAGUGUGUGGUUGUAUCUGGGGAAAAAAGCAUUUACUUGUUCUUUAAUGUUCUCUUCACAUACUUUGUUCUCAUGUCACACUAGCCUUAGUGUGUGGAGAAAGUCAAUGCCAGCCUCAGAGAAGCAGCUCAGGAGAGAGUUCCAGCACACUGGACAAGGAAGAGAAGUAGGAAUGUUAUUUUGAGCUGAAUGUCAUUCUCGGCUAAGAGGGGAAAAAUUUGUUUUGUGUAAGCGUCGAUGUAACACAGUAUAACAAUAAUACCGAGUAUUGUAGUAUACCCCCUGGCAGGUCCAGGCCUUUUACCUCCAGGAAUGUUAGGAGUUUUUGUAGCCACCUUAAAGACGUUGUUAUCUUUGGCAGAAGCACGGUGGCUUGGCUCGGGAAGCAGGCAGUAACAAUGAUAUCAGUUCCUUUUUAUUUUUUUUUCUUCUCCUGGAACACGAUGUUACCUAGAAUACAUGAGAAUCUGGCAGAGGGCUGUAUUUUCUUCCCCUGUAUUCCUUUCACACCAUCUGUUUGGGUGUGCUAGAAUCCACUGGAAUGUCUUUACAAGGUGUCAAAACUCCGGGAACUCCACUCCAUUUGGCAGCAGCGCGAGAAAGGAUAAAGUGAUCAUGGGAGUCAUAUGGAAGGGAGAACCUGGGGGAGCGUCUGCCACAAUUACAAAAGAGACAAUUUACGGUGUGAUAGAGUCCAAGGUUGGUGUCACUCCUCUCGGAUCUAUUUCUGAUCAAGGUCUCAGGAAGGGAUGCCAUGUAGGCUCCCUCAUCCUUCAAUGAGGGAAGUAUCACAUGAGGCUGCAGACUCUUCCAGAACCAUCCCCGUGCUUGCCUGGAAUGCCCUCAAAGAGGAAGACGCAGGAUGAGCAUCCGAUGGCUGGAGAAAUCCCCACUUUGGUGCAAGUCCAUUUUUGUGGAGGAGGAUGCUUCAGUGAAAUAUUCCCAAUGAUGAUAUCCUAAGGCCAUCGAUGGGGUGAGAAAUAGACCCAUUUGGUCCCAGGAGCUGGUGAGAAGCAGCAAGGCGGAGUGGCCCAGGGGAGUGGCCCUCACCUGUCGCUGCCAGCACUGAACGUCAAAGCUCCCAGGUGAUAACUCAGAUGUUGGCACAAAGAGAGAAAACCUUGCUGAGGCGGCUCCACGUCUGGAUGCAGACUUUGUGUCAUGGUGUGAAGGCAACAUGUUCGACAGCAUUCCUGCCGAGGAAAUAUCUUCUCUGAUGGCAGAUGCGGAGGACAAGUUCCAGGUAGCUGGUGGGCUUCCCGGCCAGUGACCUCGGGGUGAAGUUGGACACUGGGGUGAAAUAUCAGACAGCGAUGUGGGUGUCGUCUGUGAUGAUGUCACAGAGGAAGCCAGAAAAGUGUCGAGAGUGAGGAGGAGAGAGCCAAGGACAGCACAUCGGGGAUGAGGCUCCCUGUAAGGGAGUGGAGGAGCCAGGACCUCAGGGAGAAUCCUGCCUUCCCGUGCAGGUCCCUCGAUUCCCGGCGCACGUUUCCAAACUUCCAUUCCAGGCUUUUGCUCCUCUCUCUUCAGAGAGCUCAUUCGUUUUAAUGAUCGCAAUUUUCUGCUGUCAUCUUCCACAUCCACACUGCCCCCGUGCCCGCCUUCACCUCCAGACUCGAGCCCGAAACCUUCUUCUCUCGAUUGGCAGUUGCUACAAAACGUGUAUGGAAGGUGUUGGGCUCCACUGGGUCAGGUGAAAUGGAACAUCUAAGGGAAAGCCAAGGAUCGAAAAUGCAAGGGGAGAAGAUCCUAGAAGACUUGGAGGGGCUUGGUUUUGUGAAAGUCAAAGAGAAAAGCGAUAAAUACGGAGACAUUUGGAAAUAGAAAUAUGCUUGCCUGUUUUCACUCUCAUUUGCUGAGUUCUGCCUAAAACACA